rnacentral:rRNA from 1 species
UUAAGUUAGAAAGGGCGCACGGUGGAUGCCUUGGCACUAGGAGCCGAUGAAGGACGGGACGAACACCGAUAUGCUUCGGGGAGCUGUAAGCAAGCUUUGAUCCGGAGAUUUCCGAAUGGGGAAACCCACCACUCGUAAUGGAGUGGUAUCCAUAUCUGAAUACAUAGGAUAUGAGAAGGCAGACCCGGGGAACUGAAACAUCUAAGUACCCGGAGGAAGAGAAAGCAAAUGCGAUUCCCUGAGUAGCGGCGAGCGAAACGGGAUCAGCCCAAACCAAGAGGCUUGCCUCUUGGGGUUGUAGGACACUCUGUACGGAGUUACAAAGGAACGAGGUAGAUGAAGAGGUCUGGAAAGGCCCGCCAUAGGAGGUAACAGCCCUGUAGUCAAAACUUCGUUCUCUCCUGAGUGGAUCCUGAGUACGGCGGAACACGUGAAAUUCCGUCGGAAUCCGGGAGGACCAUCUCCCAAGGCUAAAUACUCCCUAGUGACCGAUAGUGAACCAGUACCGUGAGGGAAAGGUGAAAAGCACCCCGGAAGGGGAGUGAAAGAGAUCCUGAAACCGUGUGCCUACAAGUAGUCAGAGCCCGUUAACGGGUGAUGGCGUGCCUUUUGUAGAAUGAACCGGCGAGUUACGAUCCCGUGCAAGGUUAAGCAGAAGAUGCGGAGCCGUAGCGAAAGCGAGUCUGAAUAGGGCGAAUUGAGUACGUGGUCGUAGACCCGAAACCAGGUGAUCUACCCAUGUCCAGGGUGAAGUUCAGGUAACACUGAAUGGAGGCCCGAACCCACGCACGUUGAAAAGUGCGGGGAUGAGGUGUGGGUAGGGGUGAAAUGCCAAUCGAACCUGGAGAUAGCUGGUUCUCUCCGAAAUAGCUUUAGGGCUAGCCUCAAGGUAAGAGUCUCGGAGGUAGAGCACUGAUUGGACUAGGGGCCCCUACCGGGUUACCGAAUUCAGUCAAACUCCGAAUGCCGAUGACUUAUCCUUGGGAGUCAGACUGCGAGUGAUAAGAUCCGUAGUCGAAAGGGAAACAGCCCAGACCGCCAGCUAAGGUCCCAAAGUAUACGUUAAGUGGAAAAGGAUGUGGAGUUGCUUAGACAACCAGGAUGUUGGCUUAGAAGCAGCCACCAUUUAAAGAGUGCGUAAUAGCUCACUGGUCGAGUGACUCUGCGCCGAAAAUGUACCGGGGCUAAACGUAUCACCGAAGCUGCGGACUGUUCUUCGAACAGUGGUAGGAGAGCGUUCUAAGGGCUGUGAAGCAAGACCGGAAGGACUUGUGGAGCGCUUAGAAGUGAGAAUGCCGGUAUGAGUAGCGAAAGAGGGGUGAGAAUCCCCUCCACCGAAUGCCUAAGGUUUCCUGAGGAAGGCUCGUCCGCUCAGGGUUAGUCGGGACCUAAGCCGAGGCCGAAAGGCGUAGGCGAUGGACAACAGGUUGAUAUUCCUGUACCACCUCCUCACCAUUUGAGCAAUGGGGGGACGCAGGAGGAUAGGGUAAGCGCGGUAUUGGAUAUCCGCGUCCAAGCAGUUAGGCUGGGAAAUAGGCAAAUCCGUUUCCCGUGAAGGCUGAGCUGUGAUGGCGAGCGAAUUAUAGUAGCGAAGUUCCUGAUUCCACACUGCCAAGAAAAGCCUCUAGCGAGGUGAGAGGUGCCCGUACCGCAAACCGACACAGGUAGGCGAGGAGAGAAUCCUAAGGUGAUCGAGAGAACUCUCGUUAAGGAACUCGGCAAAAUGACCCCGUAACUUCGGGAGAAGGGGUGCUCUGUUAGGGUGCAAGCCCGAGAGAGCCGCAGUGAAUAGGCCCAGGCGACUGUUUAGCAAAAACACAGGUCUCUGCGAAGCCGUAAGGCGAAGUAUAGGGGCUGACGCCUGCCCGGUGCUGGAAGGUUAAGAGGAGCGCUUAGCGUAAGCGAAGGUGCGAAUUGAAGCCCCAGUAAACGGCGGCCGUAACUAUAACGGUCCUAAGGUAGCGAAAUUCCUUGUCGGGUAAGUUCCGACCCGCACGAAAGGCGCAACGAUCUGGGCACUGUCUCAACGAGAGACUCGGUGAAAUUAUAGUACCUGUGAAGAUGCAGGUUACCCGCGACAGGACGGAAAGACCCCGUGGAGCUUUACUGCAGCCUGAUAUUGAAUGUUGGUACAGCUUGUACAGGAUAGGUAGGAGCCUUGGAAACCGGAGCGCCAGCUUCGGUGGAGGCAUCGGUGGGAUACUACCCUGGCUGUAUUGACCUUCUAACCCGCCGCCCUUAUCGGGCGGGGAGACAGUGUCAGGUGGGCAGUUUGACUGGGGCGGUCGCCUCCUAAAAGGUAACGGAGGCGCCCAAAGGUUCCCUCAGAAUGGUUGGAAAUCAUUCGCAGAGUGUAAAGGCACAAGGGAGCUUGACUGCGAGACCUACAAGUCGAGCAGGGACGAAAGUCGGGCUUAGUGAUCCGGUGGUUCCGCAUGGAAGGGCCAUCGCUCAACGGAUAAAAGCUACCCCGGGGAUAACAGGCUUAUCUCCCCCAAGAGUCCACAUCGACGGGGAGGUUUGGCACCUCGAUGUCGGCUCAUCGCAUCCUGGGGCUGUAGUCGGUCCCAAGGGUUGGGCUGUUCGCCCAUUAAAGCGGUACGCGAGCUGGGUUCAGAACGUCGUGAGACAGUUCGGUCCCUAUCCGUCGCGGGCGCAGGAAAUUUGAGAGGAGCUGUCCUUAGUACGAGAGGACCGGGAUGGACGCACCGCUGGUGUACCAGUUGUUCUGCCAAGGGCAUCGCUGGGUAGCUAUGUGCGGACGGGAUAAGUGCUGAAAGCAUCUAAGCAUGAAGCCCCCCUCAAGAUGAGAUUUCCCAUUCCGCAAGGAAGUAAGAUCCCUGAAAGAUGAUCAGGUUGAUAGGUCUGAGGUGGAAGUGUGGCGACACAUGGAGCUGACAGAUACUAAUCGAUCGAGGACUUAACCAA